UACGUAGGCAGCAAGCGUUGUUCGGAAUUACUGGGCGUAAAGAGUGUGUAGGCGGUGCUCUAAGUCUGUUGUGAAAUCUCCCGGCUUAACUGGGAGGGUGCGGCGGAAACUGGAGUGCUCGAGGGUGGGAGAGGUAAGCGGAAUUCCUGGUGUAGCGGUGAAAUGCGUAGAUAUCGGGAGGAACACCAAUUGCGAAGGCAGCUCGCUGGGACGUCACUGACGCUGAGACGCGAAAGCGUGGGGAGCAAACAGG
rnacentral:rRNA from 1 species